rnacentral:rRNA from 1 species
AUUGAACGCUAGCGGCAUGCCUUACACAUGCAAGUCGAACGAGUGGCGGACGGGUGAUUAAUGUAUGGGAAACUUACCGGUGGAGGGGGAUAACUAAUGGUAACGAUAACUACUACCGCAUUCCAUGAGAUGUGCCCGGAUGGGAUUAGCUUGUGGGUGGGGUAACGGCUCACGAGGGCCACGAGCCCUAGCUGGUCUGAGAGGAUGACCAGCCACACUGGAAAUGAGAAACGGUCAAGACUCAUACGGGAGGCAGCAGUGGGGAAUAUUGGACAAUGGGCGAAAGCCUGAUGCAGCCAUGCCGCGUGGAGGAAGAAGGCCUUCGGGUUGUAAAGUACUGUCAGCGGGGAGGCGUUACCCGCAGAAGAAGCACCGGCUAACUACGUGCCAGCAGCCGCGGUAAUAC